rnacentral:lncRNA from 1 species
UGGAUUGAAACGAAAUAUUUUCUAUUAUUUCAAAUUUGAGAAAAAUUACAAAGUCAGUAUCAAUAAAAAAAUAACCAAGAAAAAAGAAUUAGAAAACCUCUAAAAUCUUAUCAGCUUUCGAAGAGGCACUAACAUAACAAGUAUCUAAUUAGAUAGCUAAAACUAAAACCAAUACAUAAUUCUUAUGCUACCAAACACACUAAACAAUAUUCACGCUAUUCUUCCAAAGCUCAGAGCAGCUGCCUUUUCUGUUGUCUUCUCUUAUUGAAAAGUAUCCAUGUAUACACAAAUCUCCAAACUCAGAAUUCAUAACAAACAUCUUUGGAACUCUAACAAAUAUCCCCAACACAUUGUGAGCAGCGGCUGCCUUCUCUUAAGUCUGCUGCAAAAUGCAAAUGUCUUUUAAUGGAAAGUAUUAAACAAAUCCAUGUAGUCCACAAACUCAAAGAAUUUAUAACGACUACCUUUAGAUCUAUAAGUUGUGUUUAAUAUCCCCAACACCUGAACUCAACACCCAAUAGAAAAAUGAGCAUCAUCUAAUAGAAAAUUCUUAAAUAAGCAAAACCAACAAAGAUACAAGGUAUUUCAACUUAUCCUACUGAAGCCUCGACCAAAAGAAGUGACACAUACAAUAACUCACAUCACUGCAUAUAUUAAUGCUUGCUAAAGGUAAAAUAAUUCUUACGUUUGCAGAUGAUAUAAUAAGUAACAAAAAUGAAAACUAAAAGCUAGCAACCGUUUUCAUCAUUCAAUGUCAAGACUUCACACGAACACGAACAAGGUUCAUAGUUGUAAGUGUUAAAAAAAGAACUGAGUUAUGAUAAGCCUCGAGCCCCAAAUGUAAAUCUCCCACUUUAUUCAUUAAAUAUGCUUUCAAACUCAAGUUAUCUCAUAAUACAAGUACUGUCUAGAGUAAUCACUUUCACAAGCAAACACAAAUAAUAAAAUAAAGCCCCAUCUAAAUAAAUGAUGUGAAUUAUCUAAAACUUAUUUCUUUGACAUCUUCUCUCAUACUUCAUUCACGUAUCAAUAUAUAUUAUUCAAAAAGAAACAGAACUAGAAUUCCACUUAACUUUCAACAUCCACAUUGCUGAUGUCAAAAUCUCAACAAAGUUAAGUAGCAAAUCUAAUAAGAAAAAGUAAUAGAGUUCAGAAAAAUGUGAUGAAUAGACUUGCAAACACAUUACUUAAUGGAUGUACUGUGAUAUUGAACAAAACAUAAGAAAUGAUCGUAUCAUUUAAUGGAUGUACUGUAACACGAUUGAAUAGUUAUAAAUUAACUAUUCAGUAGUAUUAGAUCUUGAGAGGAAGUAAGCAAACCACUCCCGCAUCCAGAAGUACAUUAGUUUAAGAAUUUCCUUGUAAGAUGCUGACCAAAAUUAAAUUUUGAUUGUCAGUAGGUUAUGUAGUUGACAUUCAACAACUUCUAUUAUUCAAACAUGAAGCAAUCUACAAUACUUUUUCACCUUACCAUGAUCUAACUUCUUCUAUUGUUGCAUAUUUCACGAAAUCAAACUCCUUGGAGUAUCUAGCUACACGAUCGAUAACCACUUGAGCUGCAGAAAGAAGUAUAAAUCAGCUAAAUUCUUUAAGAUUUUCCAGCGUCCAAUUAAAAAUCGCUAAUAUUGAAUAGAAAAAAUAAACAUACCACAGUUCUAUUUAUCAAAUUUAUUUAAUUCUCUGUGUAGGAUUAUUUUCUAGUUUAAUAACUAUGAUAUAAUAGGAACAAUGUGUACAGUUGGUAGAAAAACUAACAUUGAAAUAAUUGUUCUCAGAUACUUUCCUAUAAAAUCUAUCAUUCAUUUAAAUGAUUAAAGCUGAAAAUGCCCUGUUUCCACACAAGCAAACAAUGAUAUAUAAAUUCAUAUGUAUAAAACUCAAGAGUAUGCUUAACAGAUAGAGGCAGAAUCUAAUCGAUACAUACCAAAGGUUCUAAGAAGGAAGGCACAAUAAGAUUCAUCAUACCAACAACCAAUCCUUUGAAAGCAUUCCUCAAUAACGAGUCGACGACUCGUGAACAACUGCCACAUCAAAUCUCAAGUAAUUUACUAAACAUCUAUAUAAAAUUCAAAUUCUGUGAAAACCACCACAAAUACAAACAAAUUUCACAAAAUAUAAUAUUCCCAAACAGAGAUAAUGUAUAAGUCAAAAAUUCUAAACCACAGACCACCAUAGUAAGCUUAAUAUAGUUGUCGAUUAUUUCACCUUUAUCGUAUGCCCCUCCUACCUCUGCAUAGCCACAAGCCAAUUUUUGAAAUCAAAAUCGUCGAGCAAAUCUGUCUCCUACAAGGGGUACAAGUAAACAAGUUAGGGCUCAUACUAUUUAAGAACUUGUGAAAAUCUUGGGAACGAGGCAGAGCGAAUUGUCGCGCCACGAGAGGGUGAAGACGAAAGUGAAUAAGUUUGUAGAGAAUAGAACAGGACUAGGUGGUGUAGCGGAGUGUGAGUAAGAAAAAUAGGAAAUUGAAUAGGUAAUGGGCAUAGGAGAUUGGAGAUGAGUUUCUCCAACUCUUCGUGGUGGGUGGGGUCAAGGGUGGGAGGUUAUAUAAUAUAUUUACAAUUACCACAAAAAUAA